rnacentral:rRNA from 1 species
UCAGAUUGAACGCUGGCGGCAGGCCUAACACAUGCAAGUCGAGCGGUAACAUUUCUAGCUUGCCAGAAGAUGACGAGCGGCGGACGGGUGAGUAAUACUUGGGGAUCUGCCUGAUGGCGGGGGACAACCACUGGAAACGGUGGCUAAUACCGCAUAAUGCCUACGGGCCAAAGUGUGGGACCUUCGGGCCACAUGCCAUCAGAUGAACCCAAGCGAGAUUAGCUAGUUGGUGAGGUAACGGCUCACCAAGGCGACGAUCUCUAGCUGGUCUGAGAGGUUGAUCAGCCACACUGGGACUGAGACACGGCCCAGACUCCUACGGGAGGCAGCAGUGGGGAAUAUUGGACAAUGGGCGCAAGCCUGAUCCAGCCAUGCCGCGUGUGUGAAGAAGGCCUUCGGGUUGUAAAGCACUUUCAGUGGUGAGGAAGGCCUUGUAGUUAAUAGCUGCAAGGAUUGACGUUAGCCACAGAAGAAGCACCGGCUAACUCCGUGCCAGCAGCCGCGGUAAUACGGAGGGUGCGAGCGUUAAUCGGAAUUACUGGGCGUAAAGCGCACGUAGGCGGUUUGUUAAGCAAGAUGUGAAAGCCCAGGGCUCAACCUUGGAAUAGCAUUUUGAACUGGCAAGCUAGAGUUUUGAAGAGGGUGGUAGAAUUUCCAGUGUAGCGGUG